rnacentral:rRNA from 1 species
AACCUGGUUGAUCCUGCCAGUAGUUAUAUGCUUGUCUCAAGGUUAAGCCAUGCAUGUCUCAGUAUGAGUGCUUCUACGGCGAACUGCGAAUGGCUCAUUAAUCAGUUACGGUUAUUGAUGACUGUGACACGGAUAACUGGGGAAAUUCUUCAGCCAUACGUGCUUCUAAGCCGACUUUGUGGAAGGUGAGUAUUUGCUCGAUUCUGAACCAACCCAGAUCUUCUGGGCUUUAAGUUGAGCGGAGAGUAAAUCUGUCCAAUCGCAUUGCACCGCGAUGCGAUGCAUCAUUCAAGUUUCUGACCUAUCAGCUUCCGAUUGUAGGGUAUUGGCUUACCAUGGCGAUGACGGGUAACAGCGAAUUUGGGUUCAGUUCUGGAGAGGGAGCCUGAGAAACGGCUACCACAUCUAAGGAAGGCAGCAGGCGCGUAACUUACCCAAUUCUGACACGGAGAGGUAGUG